rnacentral:rRNA from 1 species
GAUGAACGCUGGCGGCGUGCCUAAUACGUGCAAGUCGAGCGAACAGACGAGGAGCUUGCUCCUCUGACGUUAGCGGCGGACGGGUGAGUAACACGUGGAUAACCUACCUAUAAGACUGGGAUAACUUCGGGAAACCGGAGCUAAUACCGGAUAACAUGUUGAACCGCAUGGUUCAACAGUGAAAGACGGUUUUGCUGUCACUUAUAGAUGGAUCCGCGUCGCAUUAGCUAGUUGGUAAGGUAACGGCUUACCAAGGCAACGAUGCGUAGCCGACCUGAGAGGGUGAUCGGCCACACUGGAACUGAGACACGGUCCAGACUCCUACGGGAGGCAGCAGUAGGGAAUCUUCCGCAAUGGGCGAAAGCCUGACGGAGCAACGCCGCGUGAGUGAAGAAGGUCUUCGGAUCGUAAAACUCUGUUAUUAGGGAAGAACAAAUGUGUAAGUAACUAUGCACGUCUUGACGGUACCUAAUCAGAAAGCCACGGCUAACUACGUG